rnacentral:rRNA from 1 species
GACGAACGCUGGCGGCGUGCUUAACACAUGCAAGUCGAACGGUGAAGGGACCAGCUUGCUGGUUCUGGAUGAGUGGCGAACGGGUGAGUAACACGUGAGUAACCUGCCCCCUUCUUCUGGAUAACCGCAUGAAAGUGUGGCUAAUACGGGAUAUUCUGGGUCUGUCGCAUGGCGGGCCCGGGAAAGAUAUUGCUUCGGUGGGGGAUGGGCUCGCGGCCUAUCAGCUUGUUGGUGGGGUGAUGGCCUACCAAGGCGGGGACGGGUAGCCGGCCUGAGAGGGGGGACGGUCACACUGGGACUGGGACACGGCCCAGACUCCUACGGGAGGCAGCAGUGGGGAAUAUUGCACAGUGGGCGCAAGCCUGAUGCAGCGACGCCGCGUGAGGGAUGGAGGCCUUCGGGUUGUAAACCUCUUUCGCCAGUGAAGCAGGCCUGCUCCUUGUGGGUGGGUUGACGGUAGCUGGAUAAGAAGCGCCGGCUAACUACGUG